rnacentral:rRNA from 1 species
GAUGAACGCUGGCGGCGUGCCUAAUACAUGCAAGUCGAGCGAACAGACGAGGAGCUUGCUCCUCUGACGUUAGCGGCGGACGGGUGAGUAACACGUGGAUAACCUACCUAUAAGACUGGGAUAACUUCGGGAAACCGGAGCUAAUACCGGAUAACAUGUUGAACCGCAUGGUUCAACAGUGAAAGACGGUUUAGCUGUCACUUAUAGAUGGAUCCGCGUCGCAUUAGCUAGUUGGUAAGGUAACGGCUUACCAAGGCAACGAUGCGUAGCCGACCUGAGAGGGUGAUCGGCCACACUGGAACUGAGACACGGUCCAGACUCCUACGGGAGGCAGCAGUAGGGAAUCUUCCGCAAUGGGCGAAAGCCUGACGGAGCAACGCCGCGUGAGUGAAGAAGGUCUUCGGAUCGUAAAACUCUGUUAUUAGGGAAGAACAAAUGUGUAAGUAACUAUGCACGUCUUGACGGUACCUAAUCAGAAAGCCACGGCUAACUACGUG